rnacentral:lncRNA from 1 species
UUUUAAAGUCCAUAAUUUGUUUUUCACACCUCCUCAUAGCUAAUUUCUGGCAUCUCAAUUAUUUCUUAAUUUUUGUUUAGAUUUAGUAAUUACAUUUAUUAAUUUAGUUGAUUAAUGUAUUAGUUUAAUUAAUUUUGUAAAUUAUUAAAGAAAAAAUGAUUUAAUUGUCCCGUUGAGUUUUUCACAGAUGCGUAGUAAUUUCAGAGUUAAAAAUUCAAUUUAAC